GAAUCAGCAGGGUCCUGUAAUGUCUUCAUUCCCAGUAUCUGCAGUGGCCGUUUGAGGUUCUCUUCUUUGGUGAUAUGUAUCACAAGGAAUGUGUAGAUUUGCUCCAAUCCCUCAUAUGCCCUUUGCACUCUGUAAUGAUAUACAACUAGAUGAGAAAAUGCACCAAACACCUUCAUGCGGUAUCUUUACGCCAUGUGAGAUCAUGACAUGUAUGUGUACCUAUAUCUAGAUAAUGUAGAGGAAUCUAUGGUGGCAGCUACAUGCAAGUUUGAUGUACAAUCCCUCAGAAAGAAA
rnacentral:lncRNA from 1 species